GGGACACUUACCCAGAAAACACUGAGCAGGGAAGUGGGUGGUCUGCCCAAACAAGAGAUGCCUGCUGCUUUCCUUGCUGGGGUCAUUGCAUUGCUAUGGCAUUUGAUCUACAAACAAAUCAAGUUCCUGAAAGAUACUCAACAUUAGCUGUCACACAAGAAAGGAAGGAAUAAUGGAAUGUAAAUACCAGCACAUCCCCAGUGACCGCUUAGUUUCGACAAGAGAAACAAGCACUUGGCUCGGUGGCUCAGCAACUGCACACCUGGUGAGAAGCAGCAGCCCAAGAAGAACAGAGGGCCCCAGGGGCUGUACAUAACUCAGAGCCACUAUUACUCUUUCUAAGGAGGCUAUAAAACUCUUCUAGGGCUGGGGUGGAACUAAAGAGGGAGAGAACUAAAAAGAAAGGAAAAGGAAUAAAUAAUCUAUUCUUGCUGAAGGUCUGUGCAAACCAGGAACGUCAGAACUUUAGGAAGUCUGGGUAGACUGAGCUGUGCCAGAGAACCCCUGUGCUUA